AUGAGAAGUACUACAAUCAGAAAUUACCUGCAAUUAAAUGUAGCUUUCCUUCCAUUAAAAAGCCAAAACUAUAAAAGGCUCUUCUAUACCAUUCUUACAUGAACUAAUUUUUAUCAAGGUUUUGUCACAUAAUCAGCACAAAAACUCUGUGAAGGAAGUCUUUUAUUUUUAUUCCAAUUUUUCAGAUGUAGAAAAUGAUCGAGUGACUUGAUUUCCAUAAUAGCAGACAGAACUCAUUAGAAGAAUUUUCCAAAAGGCCAAGACCUCUCCUAGUUAUUAACUUUGCACUGGUGAGGACCUAUUCAGCAAAUUGGAGAAUCUAAUCCGUGUUUUCUCAGUUCGUGACUGUCUAUACACAGGAGCAAACACAGGAAAGACAGAUCUGUAUGAGAUUAAUCGGAAAGAUGCUGAAUGUUACGUGCUCAUAUGUGGAGGGAAAACCAGGUCCUGCCAUUUACAUUAGACAUUAUUACAGCGAUGCCACAAGCCAGCCCCAGAAUCUCUGCCCUUGCAGGAGGCAGGGAGUCAAAAGUACCAGAAACUUUGGACCUCACAGAAAAACUGGCUGCUACAUCACAGAACUGGCAGGGGCAACAACAUAAACUAGUUCCACCACCAACUCUCCCUAGCACCCCGUGUUUAUUGGUGAACAUCCUGAUGGAAUGGUAUUAGUGACAUCAAAUCCAGAAAGCAAAGAAUUAUCGCUAAUUUUUUCUUUACGAUGAAUUCCAUAUAAAAGUGAGAAAUUGGUUCACUACAAAUACCCCUCAGAUAUCCCUAAUUCUAACUUGCAACAAUUAAAAG
rnacentral:lncRNA from 1 species